rnacentral:rRNA from 1 species
UACGUAGGUGGCAAGCGUUGUCCGGAAUUAUUGGGCGUAAAGCGCGCGCAGGCGGUUUCUUAAGUCUGAUGUGAAAGCCCACGGCUCAACCGUGGAGGGUCAUUGGAAACUGAGGAACUUGAGUACAGAAGAGAAGAGCGGAAUUCCACGUGUAGCGGUGAAAUGCGUAGAGAUGUGGAGGAACACCAGUGGCGAAGGCGGCUCUUUGGUCUGUAACUGACGCUGAGGCGCGAAAGCGUGGGGAUCAAACAGG